GACGAACGCUGGCGGCGUGCCUAAUACAUGCAAGUAGAACGCUGAAGGAGGAGCUUGCUUCUCUGGAUGAGUUGCGAACGGGUGAGUAACGCGUAGGUAACCUGCCUGGUAGCGGGGGAUAACUAUUGGAAACGAUAGCUAAUACCGCAUAAUAGUAGAUGUUGCAUGACAUUUGCUUAAAAGGUGCAAUUGCAUCACUACCAGAUGGACCUGCGUUGUAUUAGCUAGUUGGUGAGGUAACGGCUCACCAAGGCGACGAUACAUAGCCGACCGGAGAGGGUGAUCGGCCACACUGGGACUGAGACACGGCCCAGACUCCUACGGGAGGCAGCAGUAGGGAAUCGUCGGCAAUGGACGGAAGUCUGACCGAGCAACGCCGCGUGAGUGAAGAAGGUUUUCGGAUCGUAAAGCUCUGUUGUAAGAGAAGAACGAGUGUGAGAGUGGAAAGUUCACACUGUGACGGUAUCUUACCAGAAAGGGACGGCUAACUACGUG
rnacentral:rRNA from 1 species